AGAGUUUGAUCCUGGCUACAGAACGAACGCUGGCGGCAUGCCUAACACAUGCAAGUCGAACGAGACCUUCGGGUCUAGUGGCGCACGGGUGCGUAACGCGUGGGAAUCUGCCCUUGGGUUCGGAAUAACAGCGAGAAAUUGCUGCUAAUACCGGAUGAUGACGUAAGUCCAAAGAUUUAUCGCCCAAGGAUGAGCCCGCGUAGGAUUAGCUAGUUGGUGAGGUAAAGGCUCACCAAGGCGACGAUCCUUAGCUGGUCUGAGAGGAUGAUCAGCCACACUGGGACUGAGACACGGCCCAGACUCCUACGGGAGGCAGCAGUGGGGAAUAUUGGACAAUGGGCGAAAGCCUGAUCCAGCAAUGCCGCGUGAGUGAUGAAGGCCUUAGGGUUGUAAAGCUCUUUUACCCGGGAUGAUAAUGACAGUACCGGGAGAAUAAGCUCCGGCUAACUCCGUG
rnacentral:rRNA from 1 species